rnacentral:rRNA from 1 species
AGUGAACGCUGGCGGUAGGCCUAACACAUGCAAGUCGAACGGCAGCACAGUAAGAGCUUGCUCUUACGGGUGGCGAGUGGCGGACGGGUGAGGAAUACAUCGGAAUCUACUUUUUCGGGGGGGAUAACGUAGGGAAACUUACGCUAAUACCGCAUACGACCUACGGGUGAAAGCAGGGGAUCUUCGGACCUUGCGCGAUUGAAUGAGCCGAUGUCGGAUUAGCUAGUUGGCGGGGUAAAGGCCCACCAAGGCGACGAUCCGUAGCUGGUCUGAGAGGAUGAUCAGCCACACUGGAACUGAGACACGGUCCAGACUCCUACGGGAGGCAGCAGUGGGGAAUAUUGGACAAUGGGCGCAAGCCUGAUCCAGCCAUACCGCGUGAGUGAAGAAGGCCUUCGGGUGGUAAAGCCCUUUUGUUGGGAAAGAAAAGCAGCAGGUUAAUCCCCCGCUGUUCUGACGGUACCCAAAGAAUAAGCACCGGCUAACUUCGUG